GAUGAACGCUAGCUACAGGCUUAACACAUGCAAGUCGAGGGGCAGCAUGGUCUUAGCUUGCUAAGGCCGAUGGCGACCGGCGCACGGGUGAGUAACACGUAUCCAACCUGCCGUCUACUCUUGGACAGCCUUCUGAAAGGAAGAUUAAUACAAGAUGGCAUCAUGAGUCCGCAUGUUCACAUGAUUAAAGGUAUUCCGGUAGACGAUGGGGAUGCGUUCCAUUAGAUAGUAGGCGGGGUAACGGCCCACCUAGUCUUCGAUGGAUAGGGGUUCUGAGAGGAAGGUCCCCCACAUUGGAACUGAGACACGGUCCAAACUCCUACGGGAGGCAGCAGUGAGGAAUAUUGGUCAAUGGACGAGAGUCUGAACCAGCCAAGUAGCGUGAAGGAUGAAGGUCCUACGGAUUGUAAACUUCUUUUAUAAGGGAAUAAACCCUCCACGUGUGGGAGCUUGUAUGUACCUUAUGAAUAAGCAUCGGCUAACUCCGUGCCAG
rnacentral:rRNA from 1 species